CCAAACACGUCCCUGCCGUGACACCCAGGCACCGCGCAGGGGACUCGGGCUAAAAUCCCUGCAAACGAGGAGCUCUGGAAACACCUUGCAGCCGCCUGCUCCGCUCUGGGCUCUGGGGCCGGGAGGGGAUCCACACCGAGAAAAAGCCUGGCUGGAAGAGAUGAUUUCAUCUGCCCGCAAACCCAGCAUCUCCGAGUACCCUGGCUCAGCGUAAAACGCACUGCCGCUCGCUCGUCGGCAGGUUAUUAAAAAGCCUCGUCAGGACUGGAAACUAAACGGGUCUAAAUGAGCACAGGUUCACUUUGCGGAGCCGUGGCGUUAACGGGCCAGGCUUUGGUGGUUUCUGCCACGUCCCUGCUGAAGCUGCAGCACUUGAUGGAGAAACUUGAGCGCCAGCAAAAUGCUGGAUAAAACUGAGCAAUAGGUGCAGAUCCACGUAUGAUUUGGAGCGCAACGCGGCCAGCAGCCGUGUCGGCCAGCGCGCACAUCUGCCAGUGCUGGAGGAGGGAGCCCUGCCUGCAGUGGGGUGCAGGCAGCACCCCCGGGACGGGCACCCUGCUGGCAGCGAAGCAUGAUAACAUUUCCUAGAGCACGGUGGACCAGAAGCUGCGUUUCUGUGGCGCACACAACAGCGGGAUUGGAAACUGCUUCGAGCAGCAUCAAAACCAGAUGUUCCCAGAGCCAAGGGAAGAUGUUACCUGCCUCGUUCAUCGGCCCGUGGCUGCCACGUUUCAGUGCCAGACGCCCCAAGGCUGAGCCUGAGCUUGGAUCUAUCACAUUUGCGGAGCAGAGCUGUGCCGGGGGGGGUACAAACCCCUGCGGGUCCCCUAGGAACUGGGGUCAGCACAGGGGGCUGGGGGAGGAAACCGGGAGAUUUCAAGAUAUUUCGGGGAAAGGCUCUCUUGAAAUUCCAACCUUGCUUGCUAAGCAAGACCUCAGGGGUCGGGUCCUGCUCUCGGUGAUGCUGCUGCAAAAGCUGAGUAAAUCUGGGGGACUCAGCCAAGG